GCUGGGGCCGCGCCCGGCCGUGGCCGGCGUCAGCGGCUUGCGCGCCACCUAGGGAGCACCAGUGCAGCCCACAGCUCCUGCCAACCGGGCUGAUGCCGCCUACGCCGCUGGCGGCACUUCUGCUACUGCAGCGCCUCUAUCGACCGCCUGACAUACUAGCAGUUCUCUUCUACGCCGCCCUGCGUGUCAACGGGCACUGCGUGUUCUCGGCGUACAGGAUGAUCAUCCGAGCUGAGCUGGAGCUGCGUCAGCUGAUGGCCGGCCGGCCAUGGCUAGAGAGGUGCGCCGACAAAGCCACCACGAACGGCUUCCGGCCAGGCUACGGCUGAUGUCUGGCCACCGCAGCACGAAAGCGAGAGGAUGGCCUACACGCACGUGGGAAGAUGGCCUAUACA